UCCAGCCGGGUGACCCUUCAGAAUUUUUCACCUCCCAGUGCCUCAGUUUCCUCCUUUUUUGAGACUCAUAAUUCCAGCAUUGCAUGCACAGCUGAAAGCCCAGCUCUUACCACAGAGCCUACAGAGCAGUGGAUAUUAAAUAAACAUGAACUCUCUUCUUCAUCUGUAUGCACUUUGUCCAAUAAAAGGAUGUUUAAAUAUUUCUCACCAGCUGGGAAACCCUCACCCUACACAUCUCACCAAGACCAGUUUCUAAGCCAUUUAUGGGAACACAGCCACACUCUCCUUUAUGCACUGUUCUCAGCAACGCCAGAGAGGAGUGGUCAGAACAGAGACGACAUGGCCUACGAAGCUGAAGACAUUUACCGUCAGCCUCUGUGCAGACACAGUUCCUCAAGCUGCGGGUGACAGAGCAUGGACUAUUUUAUCAAAAUGCAAUGGACGUGAGCCGUUGUCCUCUCCCGAUCUCCAGCAGGAAGAUGUGUCGCCUGCAUGGACAGUGAAAGAAGGAGGUCCCCCCCACCCCCGUCCUGCAGCUCCAACCGUCGGGAUCGCCUUUACCAAAUCCCUGCCGCCCUCCUUUAGACCAGUGCUUGGUGUCAAGUUGCACAAAACCAUAAUGUGGUUGUCAAGUGGCAGGCGGUGGGGGAAACUUAGUUGGUUUUCCACUGGUAGAUGUUAAAUCCUAAACAAAGUAAAAAGGCCAAUGACUCCGAGAGUCACCGUGUA